rnacentral:rRNA from 1 species
UAGGGAAUCUUCCGCAAUGGACGCAAGUCUGACGGAGCAACGCCGCGUGAGUGAAGAAGGAUUUCGGUUCGUAAAACUCUGUUGUUAGAGAAGAACAGCGCAUAGAGUAACUGUUAUGCGUGUGACGGAAUCUAACAAGAAAGCCACGGCUAACUACGUGCCAGCAGCCGCGGUAAUACGUAGGUGGCAAGCGUUGUCCGGAUUUAUUGGGCGUAAAGCGAGCGCAGGCGGUCAAUUAAGUCUGAUGUGAAAGCCCCCGGCUCAACCGGGGAGGGUCAUUGGAAACUGGUUGACUUGAGUGCAGAAGAGGAGAGUGGAAUUCCAUGUGUAGCGGUGAAAUGCGUAGAUAUAUGGAGGAACACCAGUGGCGAAGGCGACUCUCUGGUCUGUAACUGACGCUGAGGCUCGAAAGCGUGGGUAGCAAACAGG